UACGUAGGGUGCAAGCGUUGUCCGGAAUUAUUGGGCGUAAAGAGCUCGUAGGCGGUCUGUCGCGUCGGCUGGUGAAAACCCCGGGGGCUCAACCCCGGGCCUGCAGUCGAUACGGGCAGACUAGAGUGCGGUAGGGGAGACUGGAAUUCCUGGUGUAGCGGUGAAAUGCGCAGAUAUCAGGAGGAACACCGGUGGCGAAGGCGGGUCUCUGGGCCGUAACUGACGCUGAGGAGCGAAAGCGUGGGGAGCGAACAGG
rnacentral:rRNA from 1 species